GAUGAACGCUGGCGGCGUGCCUAAUACAUGCAAGUCGAGCGAACGGACGAGAAGCUUGCUUUUCUGAUGUUAGCGGCGGACGGGUGAGUAACACGUGGAUAACCUACCUAUAAGACUGGGAUAACUUCGGGAAACCGGAGCUAAUACCGGCUAAUAUUUUGAACCGCAUGGUUCAAAAGUUAAAGACGGUCUUGCUGCCACUUAUAGAUGGAUCAGCGCUGCAUUAGCUAGUUGGUAAGGUAACGGCUUACCAAGGCAACGAUGCAUAGCCGACCUGAGAGGGUGAUCGGCCACACUGGAACUGAGACACGGUCCAGACUCCUACGGGAGGCAGCAGUAGGGAAUCUUGCGCAAUGGGCGCAAGCCUGACGGAGCAACGCCGCGUGAAUGAUGAAGGUCUUCGGAUCGUAAAACUCUGUUGUUAGGGAAGAACAUAUGUGUAAGUAACUGUGCACAUCUUGACGGUACCUAAUCAGAAAGCCACGGCUAACUACGUG
rnacentral:rRNA from 1 species